rnacentral:rRNA from 1 species
AUGGGCCGGUUCAGACAAGAAGGAGGAGGAAGAAAGCAUUUGUGCAAAGCUUGUGGAGAAGAGACGACUCAAGCAAUUGUGAAGGAUAUUGGGGAUAAAAAUUUCGUUGUCCUUGUUGAUGAGGCUCGAGAUGCAUCUCUCAAGGAGCAAAUGGCUGUGGCCUUGAGUGUUAAUGGUUCUUGUAAGAGACACGACCAGUUAGCCCAAGCGCAACAUGAUGAUCUUGUGCAGAAAUUAGAGACAGGCGAAAUUUUUACAGGUAGAGGGAGGAACCAACAAACUAACCUUACAAGACCUGGUGAUACUAGGUGGGGCUCACAUCAUAAAACCUUGUGUCGUCUUCAUCCCAUGUGGUAUGCAGUGCUAGAGGUAUUGGAGAAUAUGUCCGAUGAUGCCACUAACACAUCACAAAAGACCAAGACUACAUUGCAGGAACUUAAUGAGAUGAGGCAUCAGGGGUGGGAUGAGCUAUUUGAAGAGAUUAUUGUUGAGUUCAACAAUCGCUUUGCCGAGAAAUCUACCCAACUACUAAGAUGCAUUGCUUGUCUUGAGCCAAUAAAUUCUUUUGCCAACUUUGAUAUAAAUAAGCUAGUGGAACUUGCUCAGAUUUAUGGCGCGGAUUCUCAGAAUAUGAGUGGAGAGUUCUUAGGGACCAACUUGAAACAUUUGUUACUGAAGCUAGAGCUGGCAACCGUAGAAAGAGCUUUCUCAGCUAUGAGCAUUGUCAAAACUGAUCUGCGAAACAAGAUGAAUGAUGAAUGGAUGAAUCACCGUUUGUGCUAUCAAAAAAUGAGGAAACGGAAGGGGCUACUACCUCAUGGACUUCGUGUUAAUGAUUUAGGUCCUUCUACUAUUGCUGGUGAAGAAACAAUGGCCUUGAAUUAA